AUGCGGCGGCGGCGGACCGGUAGCAACAGCAACAAGCAGCUUGGGGCGGCGGCGGCUGCAGCAACAGGGGCAGACUACACCAACAACAGCAGCAGAGGAAGUUGUUAUGAGCAGCCAUCUCCCGUCGCCGACCCCGAGAAAUUCACCGCUUCACUGGCUGCCGGGGUUGCCCCGUCCGGCUUUCACCCCUCCCCCUCGGUAGCAGCUGAGACGCGCGAGAAAAGCUUGGGAGAGCCGGCUGCCAAGGGGAUCUUUCGCGGCGGUGGAGCAGCGGUGACGCGGCGAAGCUGCGGUGAUAGCGCCGAGAACUCCGCUUCUGCCUCUCUUCUCGAAUGAGCGGAUGAGAACGGAGGAGAAAAAGAUGCAGAUUCUUUUUUGAAAGGAAAAAGUACACCGAAGGUCCCUGAACUUGUCAUCGAGUUAGAAAAACGUCCUCAAACCACAAAACUAGAUAUCUGGCGUCCCUUAACUAAUCAAAACCGGUCACAAUAGGUCCUUCGGUGGUUUUGAUCCCGGUUUUAUCCUAUGUGGCGGCUGAGUCAGCGUGGGACCUCACGUAGGCCCCACAUGUCAGGGUGCACAUCAUAUCUCUCUCUCCCUUCCUCUCUCUCUUUUCUCCUCGUUUACUCGCUGCAGGGCGGCUGGUAGGCGCGCGCGGCCGCCGGGCGGCCGGGGGGCGGCGAGCGGCGGCUGUGGGAACCGCCCUUCGACGCGUCCCUGCCGGCGCCACCCAUCUCCUACCCCAUCACCACGCUCGCGGUGCUCGCAUCCCGCGCCUACCUCUCCGACGACGGCAACUUCCACCUCCCCUUCAACCGCGCCUCCGUGCCGGCCCUCGCCUCCUCGCCCUGGGCCGCGCCGCUCCCGCCCCGGCGCCACAUCCUCGCGUGCCACGACUUCCGGGGCGGGUACCGCGACGACGCGGCGCUGCAGGGGGGCGACGACCCGGGCGCCUACGCGCUCUGGCACUGGCACCUCAUCGACGUCUUCGUCUACUUCUCGCACUACCUCUAUCACGCUCCCGCCGCCGUGCUGGGUCAACGCCGCCCUCCUCCACGGCGUCAAGGUGUCCCCCCCCCCCCAAACAAAAUAUCCAGCUUCAUGGGAGUUCUUGCUUCGAUUGAGUGGAUCGGGAUAGGUUCUUGCAUCCGCUCGAUUGACGUUUGUUUCUGCUUGGCGUCUGUGAGCGAAGGUUUUGGGGCGUUCAUCACAGAGUGGGAUAAAGUGGCAGAAAUCUGCGAGGAGAUGCUUGCUACAGAGGCUUCUACCCAAAUGUAUGCUGAAAGGCUAACAGAGCUGGCUGGGUAA
rnacentral:lncRNA from 1 species